UACGAAGGGGGCUAGCGUUGCUCGGAAUCACUGGGCGUAAAGCGCACGUAGGCGGAUCUUUAAGUCAGGGGUGAAAUCCUGGAGCUCAACUCCAGAACUGCCUUUGAUACUGGGGAUCUCGAGUCCGGGAGAGGUGAGUGGAACUCCGAGUGUAGAGGUGAAAUUCGUAGAUAUUCGGAAGAACACCAGUGGCGAAGGCGGCUCACUGGCCCGGUACUGACGCUGAGGUGCGAAAGCGUGGGGAGCAAACAGGG
rnacentral:rRNA from 1 species